rnacentral:rRNA from 1 species
GGCGAACGCUGGCGGCGUGCUUAACACAUGCAAGUCGAACGAUGAAGCGGUACUUGUACCGUGGAUUAGUGGCGAACGGUGAGUAAUACGUGAGUAACCUGCCCCCUACUUUGGGAUAAGCCUUGGAAACGGGGUCUAAUACUGGAUAUUCCUGGUCUGCCGCAAUGGUGGGUUGGGGAAAAGUUUUUUUCGGUGGGGGAUGGGCUCGCGGCCUAUCAGCUUGUUGGUGGGUGAUGGCCUACCAAGGCGUCGACGGGUAGCCGGCCUGAGAGGGUGACCGGCCACACUGGGACUGAGACACGGCCCAGACUCCUACGGGAGGCAGCAGUGGGGAUAUUGCACAAUGGGCGCAAGCCUGAUGCAGCGACGCCGCGUGAGGGAUGACGGCUUUCGGGUUGUAAACCUCUUUCGCUACCG